AACUAAUAAGGAUUUAAUGAACCAUUUGAGAUUAAUUCAUUCAAUGAAGUUUGAAAUUGAGAGCCAUGUCAUGGGAAAUAUAAAUGAUUUUGAGAGCUGGAAAUCCAAUAUUGAAUAUGUUAACAAAUGCUCCUAUGUUUUCAAAAGUAGACAUGCAAGUACUGUUGGCGAAAUAGCGAAAUAGGAGUAAAAUAAGUAUGAUAUUAGGUUUAUCUAUCACCGCGAAAUGAUUCAUUUAAUUAUUUGUUUUAUGUGCUGAAUUAAUUUUAUGUACUGUGUUGAUUGUAGGUCAUGUUCUUAAAUCCAAUGAUCAAAGAAGUAGAUUGUUAAAUAGUGUUGGAUCAUGUAAGAUGAGUAGUGCUUGUACUAGUGGAAUCAAAGUGAUUAAAGAAAAUAACAAAGUUGUCGUACGAUGGCAAAAAAUCCAUUAUGGUCAUAAGGUUGAGAUACAACACAUUAGAUUGCCGGAGAGUGUAAAAUUACCGAAAAAUGUUAUUUUAAUUUUUGCGAUUAUAUUCUUGUAAUUAUUAUUUAACUAACGAAAUAUUAAACCAAACCCCUUAUUUUAGAAUCUACACGAGAUGAUAUUGGGGCGAAUUUAAAACGAAUAGAUUUGUUGACAUCUAAAGACAUACGAAACAUAAAAAGCAGUAUGGCAUACUGUUUAGAGGAGAUUCUAUCAUUAACACUAAUAUGCAUUUGGAAUCUAUGCACAAAACUAUAAAAUAUUUUUACUUGGAUAG